CCUCAAUCUGUGUACAAUAAACCUAGUUUAAACCCAGAUAAACAAUCAAACCUUGAAGCCUCAGGUUUGGUUGCAUGUGAGAGAGAGAGAGAGAGAGAGAGAGAGAUCGACCUUGUUAGGGAAGGUGAGAGAACAAUCGGAACAUCGAACAACUCUUUCCCAACAAAACAAAAUUAAAAAAUACACAUACAAUAGAAUUAAGCAAAAUCUCAUAAGUUAUUGGCAAAAGCGGCACCAAACAUUCUAACACAAAUUUUCUAAAAAAACAAAGAAUGCUCUAAGGUUGAGAAUUUAACUAGAUAAAAAAAAAAAACAUUACCACUUUUUGAAUCAAAACAACCAUUUACCCCAAUCAAAACAUUACUAUUUACCCCAAUCUAUCAAAAACAGAAUCAUUAUACUAUUUUUUGAAUCAGAACAACCAUGAAACAAACUCAAAAAUAUCACCAGUCAAGGAUUCUUCAAAAUUAAGUGAAAUUAAGGUUUUAGUUCACUUAGAAUCAAUAAAUUCUAUUCAUUAGCAAUCAAUCAUUUAGUAGCAGUUAAGGAUUCUUCAAAAUUAUAAUUUUGCAUGAUUUAUGUGUUUUUAUGUAUUUUGAGUAUUUGAACUCAAAUUAUAGUAAAUAAUACAUUUUAAUUAUUUUUUUUUAUAUUUUAUAUAAAAUAAAUACUAACAAAAACAAAAACAAAAACAAAAACAUAAUUUGUUCCCAAGAAAGUGAGGCAACGGUGGCGGUGGCGGUGGCGGUGAUGGACAACAAAACACACUUUGUGCCCAAAAGCCACAACAGGCCAAAAAAAAUAAAAAAAACUCCACCCCCACCCACCCAUCCAUCCUUUCUGGCUCACCUCACUUUUUCAAAUUUCAAAUUUUAAAACACAUACUCUCUCUCUCUCCCCUCAAAACACGCUUUGCUACCCCAAGAAGAAGAGGCCAAAUCUAUAAAGGCCAAAAAAAUAAAAUAAAAUAAAACAAAAUAAAGAAUUCUUACGAAUGGUUCAGUUUAAUUUAUAGCAAAUUUUUUAUGUUAAAUUUUGGAUAUUAAAACUUAUAACGUUAUAAUUUAGAUUUAUGCAGGCAAGUCUUAGUUAAUUAUGUGGUCCUUUUUAAUUAUAUAAGUGAUGGGAAUUAUCUUAAGUCCAUCUAAAAUAUUAUGUACUUUAAUCUCAAUUGAUUAAAUUAUGUUCCAUCCGUAAUCACCUAAUAUUGUUAUUAAACUCAAUUGAUUAAAUUAUUAAAUUUCAUUCUUUUUAAACUCAAAUGAUUAAAUUAUGUUUCAUCCAUAAUUACCUAAUAUUGUAAUUAUGAAAGGAUUACAAAUAUUUAGUGUGUAUCACCAAACAAAAUGUAUGUUUAUAAUGAGAAUAUCUACACAGAACUCAAUUAAAAAUAACAACCCCGCCUAACCUUAAUACAAAUUAAGAAAUAAACAUAUAAAAUUUAUAAUAUUCACCAAAAAAAAAAAAAACAGUCAUCUAUUUUACUUCACCAAUAAAAUAGUCAAAUAAAAAUAAAUAAAUAAAAAACAUAUAAGAGAAAUAUUGUUAUGCAAUUAUAAGAAAAGCCUUGCCUACUACCCUCCAGUGCUCUAUUCUUUUACACCCAAAAAGACCAAUCCAAGAAAAGCCAUAUUCGGCCGAGAAAUCCAAUUCAAAAAAUAAAUUAAAAAAAUUAAAUUUUUUUUUGAGAGAUCUUAAAAAGGCAAGUCAUGUUUCCACCUUUCUCUCUCUCGAAUCAUGACACAGUAAUAUGCAACAAAAACCUAUUUUCUUUAUAGCUUUUCCACUACUAAUGAAGACCAACCCUUCCUUGCUUUUGUUGUUUUUCGAAUGUUGUAGAUAAAAAUAAAAUAAAAAAAAAAAAAUUGAUUGAAGAGCUAUUAGGAGGUUGUGCUGGACUAAUAUGAGGAGAGAGAAAAAUCUCCAUUGUCAGUUUUAUAGAGGGUUCCUCCCUUUCUCCUUUCUCCAUCUCCUUCCUCCUCCGCCGCCACCACUCUGGCGAGCUCUUCAGCCUCGGCGUUGCAACAUCAUUUUCCGAAGAUGGAGAUCAACAGUAAAUUUUUAAUUGUAAACAAUAUAUUCAAUAGAAAUCAAAACUCUCCAAAACCGAAACUAAAGAGUUGGGAGUAAAAUGGAGCUAAAGAGAGAGAGAUGGAGAAGGUUUGUGUGACAAUCUGAGGAAGAGAGUUUAAAAUCAAGGAGGGAGAGAGAGAGAGAGAGAGAGAGAGAGAGAGAGAAAAGAGUAUUUGGGCGGGAAUCAAGUGUUUGGUACAUUUGAAAGGAUUGAUCUUAACCUAAUCAUCCUGCCAUAUUAUAUAGAUUUACCUUUGCCAUUGUCACUAUGUCAGGCACAAUGCCUUGGGUCUCAAAUCCCCCAAAAUGGCUCCUAGUGUGAGCAAACCCAGAUUGAACCUCAUCGGCAAUACAAAGCCCUCAUGCUUUCUUAAUAUUGCUAUAUACAGCAUGGAAGUAACCUGGGGUCAAUUCAAUAAUUCCACCCACUCCCUGCCAUUUUAGAGAGUAGUUCAAAUUAGACAGUAACUCGGAAAAGGUUGUAUUAAUAGGAAAAUGAUAUUCUCACACGUAGAGGAUUUAAGACAAAAAUAAUGUGGCAAUGACACUCUUGCAAUUAUGAACCAUAGUGAUGGGCAUUUGACUAUCAAUGCAGGGAUAUAAAUGCGACACAUCAUUUUGCAUAAUUUUUUGUGUGUUAAAUCUUGUGUGUACAUCAUUACCCUAAUCAAUAUAGCCACAAAAAGAAACAAUAAAAACAAAUUUACAUAGACGAUGCUUACCUGUAUGGCUUUAGAAAUAAAACCAGCUACAUGUCCUGAAGUUCCAAAGGUAAUGAGAUCUUCAACAUCUCUUGCAUACUUCUCCCCGUUUGAACCAAAGACUCCUCUGUAUAGAUCUGGGUUGAGGGCAUGGUGAACUCCGCUCUGUUGACCAAUCCAAAAAGAAUACCAGGAUUAGGGAACUGGAUUAUAUUUAAUAAUAAUUUGGUUGCAUUGCAUUUGUGAAUGCUAAUUUAUGAUUACUUGGUUCUUUAGUUAAGGAUAAAUGCAGUAUAAGGUAAGAUUGGAAGCUUCACAAAAUAAUUAUUCUUCAAUAUGUUUAGUAUCUUCAGCAAUAUCAACUGUAAAGUGUAAAUGUUAACAUAAAGCUACCAAUGGUAAAAUAAGAAAGUAAACAACACAACAAUCAUGGCCA